UGGCACCAAGACAUCAGCAGCAGAUCCUUUAAGUCCUGGCGCAUUAUCCUGCUGAAAGGGGCCAAUGCCGUCAGGGAAUGCCAUUGCCAUGAAAGGUUGCACAUGGUCUGCAACAAUGCUCAGGAAGUCUAAAGGCUGCAGUUAUGCCUCAGUUCUCACUGAUGACACUGAGAUGGAGCGUGUCCAGCUUCAAAUUCCUGGGUGUCCACAUCUCUGAGGACCUCUCCUGGACACUCAACACCCCAACCCUGGUCAAAAAGGAGCAGCAGCGAAGAAGAAGGCCUGCUUUCCCAUAUCCUCGCAAACUUAUACCGCUGCACAAUCUAGAGCAUUUUGACAAACUGUGCCAUGGUGUGGUUGGGUAGAUGCUCUGUGGCCAACCGGAAGGCCUGACAACUGGUGGUAAAAACCGCCCAGCACAUCACUGAUGCCCAGGUCCCAGCCAUCAUCAGAGACCCUGCACACCCAUGCCACAAACUAUUUUCCUCCUGUCAUCAGGCAGGCAGUACAGGUCUCUUCGUUCCCACACCAGCAG